AGAGUUUGAUCCUGGCUCAGAUUGAGCGCUGGCGGCAUGCUUUACACAUGCAAGUCGAACGGCAGCGCGGGGCAACCUGGCGGCGAGUGGCGAACGGGUGAGUAAUAUAUCGGAACGUACCCAGAAGUGGGGGAUAACGUAGCGAAAGUUACGCUAAUACCGCAUACGAUCUACGGAUGAAAGUGGGGGACCUUCGGGCCUCAUGCUUGUGGAGCGGCCGAUAUCUGAUUAGCUAGUUGGUGAGGUAAAGGCUCACCAAGGCGACGAUCAGUAGCUGGUCUGAGAGGACGACCAGCCACACUGGAACUGAGACACGGUCCAGACUCCUACGGGAGGCAGCAGUGGGGAAUUUUGGACAAUGGGCGCAAGCCUGAUCCAGCAAUGCCGCGUGAGUGAAGAAGGCCUUCGGGUUGUAAAGCUCUUUUGUCAGGGAAGAAACGGCCGAGGAUAAUACCUUCGGCUAAUGACGGUACCUGAAGAAUAAGCACCGGCUAACUACGUGCCAGCAGCCGCGGUAAUACGUAGGGUGCAAGCGUUAAUCGGAAUUACUGGGCGUAAAGCGUGCGCAGGCGGUUUUGUAAGUCUGACGUGAAAGCCCCGGGCUCAACCUGGGAAUUGCGUUGGAGACUGCAAGGCUUGAAUCUGGCAGAGGGGGGUAGAAUUCCACGUGUAGCAGUGAAAUGCGUAGAGAUGUGGAGGAACACCGAUGGCGAAGGCAGCCCCCUGGGUCAAGAUUGACGCUCAUGCACGAAAGCGUGGGGAGCAAACAGGAUUAGAUACCCUGGUAGUCCACGCCCUAAACGAUGUCUACUAGUUGUCGGGUUUUAAUUAACUUGGUAACGCAGCUAACGCGUGAAGUAGACCGCCUGGGGAGUACGGUCGCAAGAUUAAAACUCAAAGGAAUUGACGG
rnacentral:rRNA from 1 species